GGAGAGCUGGGACCCGCGGUCGCCGUCCGCGGUCCUGGGAAAGGCCGCGGAUAGAUCGGACAGUGAGGCUCCCUGUAGAGCUGUGGUUAAAUCAGUCUGCCCUGUGGCCACCCCGUAGGGCGUCCAGCUUUGUCCAGUAGGCUGCAGUGUCUGCUCAAUGCCGGGUGUAAAUAAAAAACUAUCGAAAUCAGCCAGGCUAAUGUUGCUUUCCAAAAUUAAGUGACUUGGGUGAUGUAGAAAUCGCGACUCAGAAUGUCUAGAAAGCAUGUUCGGAAUGCUUUCCAGAUCUCCACCCUUCAGCAAUUCGGUUUAUUCAAGGUUGAAACAGGGUAACAAGAUUUGUAACCUCUUAACCCUUCUACACCUCUACCAUCGACUCCCUGAUCUCGAAUCGUCAUGGAUUCGACCAUGAAGCAUUCACGAUGGAGCAAACUUUACCUUGAAUUCUUCCAAGAUGAAUUUGAGCCUGCGUGCUUGGGGGUAAAAACGUGGCUGACAUGUCUAAACAAAAUAUAUGGUCAUUUUCAUCUCUGACUGGAACUUGAAUUGGCUUCAGCAAGAACCAGCUCACACCUAAGUCAUCAACAAGACUCUUGCAGAUUUCUUCUGGAGAGACAGAAAUAUCUGCAGCCAGGAGGACGGCUGUUGGAGGAAUUCAGGAGCAUUCGACGGAGUCUCCUGGAGUCGGGGAGUGGUCAGUUUUACACAUCCUCCUCAGGACCUCACAGGCAAGAACAGCAGGAUCUGCUUCCUUCAUGAAACCUUGGCUCUGUUCUAUCCAUCGACAGUCCUUCAGGAUACCUAACCUGUCCAGAAACCAAGGCCUUUGCCUUCCCCACAGAGAUAACGCGGACAUGCCGAGGGAUCCCCUUUACAUCCUUGUGCUCAAGUGGAUUCAGUGUCACAGUUCAGGCGCUU
ensembl:antisense Gm9828 predicted gene 9828